GUCUACGGCCAUGCCACCCUGAACAAGCCCGAUCCCAUCUGAUCUCGGAAGCUAAGCAGGGUCGAGCUUGGUUAGUACGUGGAUGGGAGACCACCUAGGAAGACCAGGUGUUGUAGGCA
rnacentral:rRNA from 1 species